UUCUCCUUAGCUCAGUAGGAGAGCAUCUGCUUUGCAUGCAGAAGGUCGCAGGUUCAACUCCUGUCGGGGUUUGGAAA